AAGUGACAUUGACAGACAGAGAAAGAGGUCUCAUUAACUGUGAAAUGUGUGCUAAGUCUGAGGAAAAUAAUCUGGCAUGGUAUGUAAAGAAUUCAAAGGAGAGAUUGAUGGAAGGAGCAAGAAAGAUAAAAGUCCUAUGAUGAAGCA